CUCUAUUAGCGUAGAUGGCAGUGCACAUUUCCGUACGUGUCUUUUAAUGCCUUUCUCUGAGUCGUGAAGCGGUGUGCUAAAUAAGCAAAAUGACGGAAGGUACAGUUACUAUUCGAACGAGGAAGUUCAUGACCAAUCGGCUCUUAUGCCGCAAACAAAUGGUCGUAGAUGUUAUCCAUCCUGGCCAGCCAUCGAUUCGUAAAACUGAGAUACGUGAGAAGCUCGCGAAAAUGUACAAAGUAACGCCAGACGUGGUCUUUGUGUUUGGCUUCCAAACCAACUUUGGUGGUGGCAAAUCUACUGGCUUCGCACUCGUCUACGACACCUUGGACUUUGCUAAGAAAUUCGAACCUAAAUAUAGGUUAGCAAGGCAUGGCCUGUUUGAAAAACAGAAGCAAACCAGAAAGCAGCGUAAAGAACGCAAGAACAGAAUGAAGAAGGUUAGGGGUACUAAGAAGAGCAAAGUUGGAGCAGCAUCUAAAAAGGGAAGGAAGUAGACAAAUGCUCAUCAUUUGCACUACAAACUUCUGGAGAAGCAGUAUCUUUAUGAUGCUUAAUCGGGUAAAUCCAUAGUAAAGUCAUCAUGAAGAACACGGUUUGCUUACCAACGACGUAAAAAUUAUUAUAAUAUUUUACUAUUGAUGUAAUUAUAAUAAAUUUACAAAAAUAAACCUGUAUACUUCUUGAUGAGAA